GCCAGCAGCUCCAACGCGAUCGCAGCCCGAAACCCCGCGGAGCAGGUUCUCGGGAGUGCAGUGUGGCAGAGCAGUCAAGCGGUCCCUCAGGGGCGCCCAGGCGGAUUUCAAACAAUAUCAUCCGUGUGAGAGCAUUUGGAGGAAGAGAAUAAAAGGUCUAAGAGGACCGAGUGGCAGAGGAAGACGCGAGGCAACAUCCGGGCCAUCGAGAGCCCCGAGCGCUUGACCUUCCUGCUCCGCAAGUGAAUUUAUAGGCCUGGUUUAUUCGCGCGCGUUCAUUGUUUGUGCCCCCAGCCUCUCUUCAGUUCUGAGACAAUGCUGAGAGCGUUUGCCUAGCAUAUGUUUCUUCCUGAUGGGCUUCCUGGAGCAGCCUUUCGUUUCUUAGGACUUCUUGAAAAGAAGUGAGGUGUUGCUGUACCCCACCCGCACCGUGACUGCUUCUACCACCAUUCCUGCGGAACCUGCUGCUGAGGUCAGUGCCCAAGGAAGGUCACUAGUGCCCUUAAA